rnacentral:lncRNA from 1 species
ACGCGGGAGUUGAUGAGUGAUGGCAAGGAGGGAUAAGUGAUGGCCUGGGUCUCUACUUGGGUUUGGGGAGUGUAGAGAGAAGUUUGGUGUUUCCUUAUUUUAUUCUUGCCCUGGGUUGCUCCCACCCUAAGGCAGGGUUUGGUAUAAGGUGAUCGUCCUGCAUAGCGGUGAUUUUAAAUCAUCUCUACUUUUUCGAAUCAUCCCCUAACUCGAUGAUGGGAUAUCCGUCCUUGAGAUCGAAAAUUAAAAAUUAUCAUAGGGCAAUGAUCCUGAAUUAAAAUUUAAAGACAAAAAUAUCCUUCAAA